CUCACUUGAGCACAAUCCAAGAUGAAAGUUUCUGGGUUGUGUCCCCUCCGCUUCCUCUCACCCUCGCUCCCCCGCGGAGCCAAGGAGCCAGCAAUUGUGCAAGAGGAGCCCGGCGCACAGGGCGCGUAUCACGGAGCUCAUGAGCCAGCAAGCCGAACGCCUCCAGCGCGGCCGGGACGGAGGAGCGGCUCUGCGGAAGACGCCGAGGCUGCGCCCGAGUCUGAACGAAGCUGCCUCCAGCCACAUGAAGUCAGUAGGGCUGUUCUGAGGGGCCCCUAGAUUUUAUGACUGUUUUUUAGGUUGCGGAACCUACUCCGAGAGAGCAGACACUUUGGACGAAGUGAUUCAUAUUGAUAGAAAGAUACAUUUGUUGGGUGGUGGCUUUUUUCAUUCUCAACAGAAAACAAAGAAAUAAAUUAAGUCUUCCCCUGA